UCUGGUUGAUCCUGCCAGUAGUCAUAUGCUUGUCUUAAAGACUAAGCCAUGCAUGUCUAAGUAUAAGUAUUAUACAGCGAAACUGCGAAUGGCUCAUUAAAACAGUUAUAGUUUAUUCGAUUAUUUUCUCCUACAUGGAUAACCGUAGUAAUUCUAGAGCUAAUACAUGCUGUCAAACCUGACUUUUGUGGAAGGGUUGUAUUUAUUAGAUAUAAAACCAAUACCUAGCAAUAGGUUUUGUGAUGAUUCAUAAUAACUGAACGGACCGCGGCCGUGCUGCGGCGAAUCGUUCAAGUUUCUGCCCUAUCAGCUUUCGAUGGUAGUGUAUUGGACUACCAUGGCGAUCACGGGUAACGGGGAAUUAGGGUUCGAUUCCGGAGAGGGAGCCUGAGAAAUGGCUACCACUUCUAAGGAAGGCAGCAGGCGCGUAAAUUACCCAAUCCUGAUUCAGGGAGGUAGUGACAAGAAAUAACAACUCGGGUCUCCUUGGGAUUGCGAGAUUGCAAUGAGAACAAUUUAAACCACUUAUCCAGUAACAAUUGGAGGGCAAGUCUGGUGCCAGCAGCCGCGGUAAUUCCAGCUCCAAUAGCGUAUAUUAAAGUUGUUGCAGUUAAAAAGCUCGUAGUUGAAUAUCUGGCCGGUGCUGUUCUUGGCUCCCUGAGUCGGCUCAGCGCCUGGUCAUCCGUAUGGGAAACUAGCUCGACCUUCACUGGUCGGCUAGUGGAUCAUACACUUUACUUUGAAAAAAUUAGAGUGUUUCAGGCAGGCAAUUGCUUGGAUACUGUAGCAUGGAAUAAUGGAAUAGGACUUUGACCUAUUUGUUGGUUUCUCGAGGUCAAAGUAAUGAUUAAUAGGGACAGUUGGGGGCAUUCGUAUUUAAUUGUCAGAGGUGAAAUUCUUGGAUUUUUUAAAGACGAACUUAUGCGAAAGCAUUUGCCAAGGAUGUUUUCAUUAAUCAAGAACGAAAGUUAGGGGAUCAAAGACGAUCAGAUACCGUCGUAGUCUUAACCAUAAACUAUACCGACUUGGGAUCAGCAGGGUCUUCCAAGCUCUGUUGGCACCAUAUGAGAAAUCAAAGUCUUUGGGUUCUGGGGGGAG
rnacentral:rRNA from 1 species